AGGUGGAUGUUGUACCAAUUUCUGACUUAUAGACUGUGAGUUACAUAUUGUGUUGUGCUGUCACAUAUAAAGAAAGAACAUAAUAUAAGUCAUGAUAUAUCAAAAUCGUUGCAAACAAAUGUUUGCUAUAAAAGUGUUAUACAUUAUUGAAUGAUAAUAGUAAGAACCAGUUUGUUUUCUGAAAGAAGACAAAAAAGAGGGUCAAAAACCUAGGAUGGAGUGCCUAGGUAUGAAAGAAGUAUACUGUCUCAGAGCUAAUCUGCAAAGUAUGGGGAAGUUUGGUUUUUGUUUGCUUAUUUUAUUUUCUAUGCUUAUAGGGAACACACAUUAAGUAAAGCACUUCGUGAUAAUUGUAUAUCCACUGACAAAAUAGAACAGAGACUUCUAUGACCAUUCAUGACAACAACAACAAAAAAAACCCCACAAUCUUAGAAAAAAAUAAAUUGUAAUAGUCGCUGAGGAAAGGUA
rnacentral:lncRNA from 1 species